AAAAAGCAGAGACAUCACUUUGCCAGUAAAGAUCUGUCUAGCAAAAACUGUGAUUUUUCUAGUAGUCAUGUACAGAUGUGAGAGUUGAACUGGAAAGAAGGCUGAGCACCCAAGAUUUGAUACUUUCAAACUGUGGUGCUGGAGAAGACUCUUGGGAGUCCCUUGGACUGCAAGGAGAUCAAACCAGUCAAUCCUAAAGGAAAUCAGACCUCAAUAUUCAUUGGAAGGACUGAUGUUAAAGCUGAAACUCCAAUACUUUGGCCACCUGAUGUGAAGAACUGAUUCAUGGGAAAGGACCCUGAUGCUGGGAAAGAUUGAAGGCAGGAGGAGAGGAUGACAGGAUGAGAUGGUUGGAUGGCAUUACCUUCUCAACAAACUCUGAGAGAUAGUGAAGGACAGGGAAGCCUGGUGUGCUGCAGUCCAUGGAGUUGCAGAGACAGACAUGACUUAGUUACUGAACAACAAUGGCAGGCUCUCUCCUGAAUAUUCAUUGGAAGGACUGAUGCUGAAGCUGAAACUCCAAUACUUUGGCCACCCGAUGUAUAGACUCACUGGAAAAUACCCUGAUGCUGGGAAAGAUUGAGGAUCACAUGACCCCAAAUGGCCAGCUAUUGAAGGACACAGACUAGAAGACACUGGAUGUGCACCCUGUCUUCUUGACAUGGACUUAAUUGAUUGAGAACCAAAUGAGGAAAUUGCUGUGAACAAAAUAGAUUUACCCAACAUCUCUUAGCAGGAAAUCAACCCUGAAUAUUCAU
ensembl:lncRNA